AUGGCCUCCAUCUCCGCCGCCGCCAAGGCCACCUCCGCCGCCUUCGCGCACAAGAAGGAGCUCGCCGCGGCGGUGCCGCCGCAGCAGCUCGCGAGGAGCCGGCGCGCGCGGGCCGGGCGCGUUCGCGCGGUUGCGACGCCGACCCGCGCGCCGCGCUCCCCCGCGUCCACCGGCUCGGUGAAGAGCCCUAUGACGACGACGGAGAAGAUCCUGGCGCGGGCGUCGGAGCGCGCGAGCCUCGAGCCCGGGGAGAACGUGUGGGUGGACGUGGACGUGCUCAUGACGCACGACGUCUGCGGGCCCGGCACCAUCGGGAUCUUCAAGCAGGAGUUCGGGGAGGACGCCAAGGUGUGGGACCGCGAGAAGGUCGUCAUCAUCCCCGACCACUACAUCUUCACCAGCGACGAGCGGGCCAACCGGAAUGUCGACAUCCUCAGGGACUUCUGCGAGGAGCAGAAGAUUAAGUACUUUUACGACAUCAAGGACCUCAGCGACUUCAGAGCAAAUCCGGACUACAAAGGUGUUUGCCACAUUGCGCUCGCCCAAGAAGGUCACUGCCGACCAGGCGAGGUUCUCCUUGGUACUGAUUCUCAUACCUGCAAUGCUGGAGCCUUUGGUCAGUUUGCAACUGGAAUCGGGAACACUGAUGCAGGUUUUGUGAUGGGAACGGGAAAGGCUCUUCUCAAGGUGCCCCCAACCAUCAGGUUCAUAUUAGAUGGAGAAAUGCCACCUUAUUUACUCGCUAAGGAUCUGAUUUUACAAAUUAUUGGCGAGAUAUCUGUAUCUGGUGCAACAUACAGAUCGAUGGAGUUUGUUGGAUCAACAAUAGAAAGUCUAACUAUGGAAGAACGAAUGACACUGUGCAACAUGGUUAUCGAAGCUGGUGGAAAGAAUGGUGUUGUGCCUGCUGAUGAAACUACAUUUAAGUACCUUGAGGGAAAGACAUCUGUUGAAUAUGAACCUGUCUAUAGUGAUGCUCAGGCCAGAUUUUACAGCGACUACCGGUUUGAUGUAUCUAAACUGGAGCCAGUAGUUGCCAAGCCACAUUCCCCUGACAACCGUGCUCUAGCAAGAGAAUGCAAAGAUGUCAAGAUUGACCGAGUCUAUAUUGGUUCUUGCACUGGUGGCAAGACUGAGGACUUCAUUGCUGCUGCAAAGGUGUUCUUAGCUUCGGGCCAGAAGGUUAAGGUUCCCACUUUUCUCGUCCCUGCGACGCAAAAGGUGUGGAUGGAUGUGUAUAGCCUGCCCGUACCAGGAUCUGGUGGCAAAACAUGCUCCCAGAUAUUUGAAGAGGCUGGUUGUGAUACACCAGCUAGUCCCAAUUGUGGUGCUUGUUUGGGUGGUCCUCGUGAUACAUAUGCACGGAUGAAUGAACCUACGGUCUGUGUAUCAACGACGAACAGGAACUUUCCGGGCAGGAUGGGCCACAAGGAAGGGCAGAUCUACCUGGCUUCUCCCUUCACCGCAGCGGCCUCAGCGUUGACGGGAUAUGUCACGGACCCUAGGGACUUCCUGUCUUAG
rnacentral:rRNA from 1 species